rnacentral:rRNA from 1 species
UACGUAGGGGGCGAGCGUUGUCCGGAUUUACUGGGCGUAAAGAGCGCGUAGGCGGCACUUUAAGCGUGGCCUGAAAGCCCCCGGCUCAACCGGGGAGUGCGGCUGCGAACUGGGUUUCUUGAGGACGAUAGAGGAGAGUGGAAUUCCUGGUGUAGCGGUGAAAUGCGUAGAUAUCAGGAGGAACACCCGAGGCGAAGGCGGCUCUCUGGGUCGUACCUGACGCUGAGGCGCGAAAGCGUGGGGAGCGAACGGG